CCUACGGGUGGCAGCAGUGAGGAAUAUUGCUCAAUGGACGAAAGUCUGACCCAGCCAAGUAGCGUGAAGGAUGACUGCCCUAUGGUUUGUAAACUUCUUUUAUAAAGGAAUAAAACGAGGCACGUGUGCCUUUUUGCAUUUACUUUAUGAAUAAGGAUCGCCUAACUCCGUGCCAGCAGCCGCGGUAAUACGGUGGAUCCGAGCGUUAUCCGGAUUUAUUGGGUUUAAAGGGAGCGUAGAUGGGUUGUUAAGUCAGUUGUGAAAGUUUGCGGCUCAACCGUAGAAUUGCAAUUGAUACUGGCAGUCUGGAGUACAGUUGAGGUAGGUGGAAUUCGUGGUGUAGCGGUGAAAUGCUUAGAUAGCACGAAGAACACCGAUUGCGAAGGCAGCUUACUAAACUGUGACUGACAUUGAUGCUCGAAAGUGUGGGUAUCAAACAGGAUUAGAUACCCGGGUAGUC
rnacentral:rRNA from 1 species